AACGAACGCUGGCGGCAUGCCUAACACAUGCAAGUCGAACGAGACCUUCGGGUCUAGUGGCGCACGGGUGCGUAACGCGUGGGAAUCUGCCCUUGGGUUCGGGAUAACAGUUGGAAACGACUGCUAAUACCGGAUGAUGACUUCGGUCCAAAGAUUUAUCGCCCAGGGAUGAGCCCGCGUCGGAUUAGCUAGUUGGUGAGGUAAGAGCUCACCAAGGCGACGAUCCGUAGCUGGUCUGAGAGGAUGAUCAGCCACACUGGGACUGAGACACGGCCCAGACUCCUACGGGAGGCAGCAGUGGGGAAUAUUGGACAAUGGGCGAAAGACUGGUCCAGCAAUGCCGCGUGAGUGAUGAAGGCCUUAGGGUUGUAAAGCUCUUUUACCCGGGAUGAUAAUGACAGUACCGGGAGAAUAAGCCCCGGCUAACUCCGUG
rnacentral:rRNA from 1 species